UACGAAGGGGGCUAGCGUUGCUCGGAAUCACUGGGCGUAAAGCGCACGUAGGCGGAUUGUUAAGUCAGGGGUGAAAUCCUGGAGCUCAACUCCAGAACUGCCUUUGAUACUGGCGAUCUUGAGUCCGGGAGAGGUGAGUGGAACUGCGAGUGUAGAGGUGAAAUUCGUAGAUAUUCGCAAGAACACCAGUGGCGAAGGCGGCUCACUGGCCCGGUACUGACGCUCAGGCACGAAAGCGUGGGGAGCAAACAGG
rnacentral:rRNA from 1 species